CAAUAGCGUAUAUUAAAGUUGUUGCAGUUAAAAAGCUCGUAGUUGGAUUUGUGGCGUACGGUGUGUUCCGGGCACUUGUUGUCUGAGUAACCUGCUGUUGCCAUCCUUGGGUGGAACCUGUGUGGCAUUAGGUUGUCGUGCAGGGGAUGCCCAUCAUUUACUGUGAAAAAAUUAGAGUGUUCAAAGCAGGCUUAUGCCGUUGAAUAUAUUAGCAUGGAAUAAUGAGAUAGGACUUUUUUGCUAUUUUGUUGGUUUGCGCAAAGAGGUAAUGAUUAAUAGGGACAGUUGGGGGUAUUCGUAUUCCAUUGUCAGAGGUGAAAUUCUUGGAUUUCUGGAAGACGAACUACUGCGAAAGCAUUUACCAAGGGUGUUUUCAUUAA
rnacentral:rRNA from 1 species